GGCCUAUCAGCUUGUUGGUGAGGUAACGGCUCACCAAGGCGACGACGGGUAGCCGGCCUGAGAGGGCGACCGGCCACAUUGGGACUGAGAUACGGCCCAAACUCCUACGGGAGGCAGCAGUGGGGAAUAUUGCACAAUGGGCGAAAGCCUGAUGCAGCAACGCCGCGUGCGGGAAGACGGCCUUCGGGUUGUAAACCGCUUUCAGUAGGGACGAAGCUAACGUGACGGUACCUACAGAAGAAGCACCGGCUAACUACGUGCCAGCAGCCGCGGUGAUACGUAGGGUGCGAGCGUUGUCCGGAAUUAUUGGGCGUAAAGAGCUUGUAGGCGGUUUGUCACGUCGGGAGUGAAAACUCGGGGCUUAACCCCGAGCCUGCUUCCGAUACGGGCUGACUUGAGGAAGGUAGGGGAGAAUGGAAUUCCUGGUGAAGCGGUGGAAUGCGUAGAUAUCAGGAGGAACACCAGUGGCGAAGGCGGUUCUCUGGACCUUUCCUGACGCUGAGAAGCGAAAGCGUGGGGAGCAAACAGGCUUAGAUACCCUGGUAGUCCACGCCGUAAACGGUGGGUACUAGGUGUGGGGAACAUUCCACGUUCUCCGUGCCGCAGCUAACGCAUUAAGUACCCCGCCUGGGGAGUACGGCCGCAAGGCUAAAACUCAAAGGAAUUGACGGGGCCCCGCACAAGCGGCGGAGCAUGCGGAUUAAUUCGAUGCAACGCGAAGAACCUUACCUGGGUUUGACAUAUACCGGAAACAUCUAGAGAUAGGUGCCCCUUUUUGGUCGGUAUACAGGUGGUGCAUGGCUGUCGUCAGCUCGUGUCGUGAGAUGUUGGGUUAAGUCCCGCAACGAGCGCAACCCUCGUCCUAUGUUGCCAGCGGAUAAUGCCGGGGACUCAUAGGAGACCGCCGGGGUCAACUCGGAGGAAGGUGGGGAUGACGUCAAGUCAUCAUGCCCCUUAUGUCCAGGGCUUCACGCAUGCUACAAUGGCCGGUACAAAGAGCUGCGAACCUGCAAGGGUGAGCGAAUCUCAAAAAGCCGGUCUCAGUUCGGAUUGGGGUCUGCAACUCGACCCCAUGAAGUCGGAGUCGCUAGUAAUCGCAGAUCAGCAACGCUGCGGUGAAUACGUUCCCGGGGCUUGUACAC
rnacentral:rRNA from 1 species